GGGUUGUGAGGUUAAGUGACUAAGCGUACACGGUGGAUGCCUAGGCAGUCAGAGGCGAUGAAGGGCGUGCUAAUCUGCGAAAAGCGUCGGUAAGGUGAUAUGAACCGUUACAACCGGCGAUACCCGAAUGGGGAAACCCAGUGUGUUUCGACACACUAUCAUGUCAUGAAUACAUAGUGGCAUGAGGCGAACCGGGGGAACUGAAACAUCUAAGUACCCCGAGGAAAAGAAAUCAACCGAGAUUCCCCCAGUAGCGGCGAGCGAACGGGGAGGAGCCCAGAACCUGAAUCGGCUUGUGUGUUAGUGGAAGCGUCUGGAAAGUCGCGCAGCAAAGGGUGAUAGCCCCGUACACUAAAAUGCACAGGUCGUGAGUUCGAUGAGUAGGGCGGGACACGUGACAUCCUGUCUGAAUAUGGGGGGACCAUCCUCCAAGGCUAAAUACUCCUGACUGACCGAUAGUGAACCAGUACCGUGAGGGAAAGGCGAAAAGAACCCCGGCGAGGGGAGUGAAAUAGAACCUGAAACCGUGUACGUACAAGCAGUGGGAGCACCUUCGUGGUGUGACUGCGUACCUUUUGUAUAAUGGGUCAGCGACUUAUAUUUUGUAGCAAGGUUAACCGUAUAGGGGAGCCGUAGGGAAACCGAGUCUUAACUGGGCGAAUAGUUGCAAGGUAUAGACCCGAAACCCGGUGAUCUAGCCAUGGGCAGGUUGAAGGUUGGGUAACACUAACUGGAGGACCGAACCGACUAAUGUUGAAAAAUUAGCGGAUGACUUGUGGCUGGGGGUGAAAGGCCAAUCAAACCGGGAGAUAGCUGGUUCUCCCCGAAAGCUAUUUAGGUAGCGCCUCGUGAACUCAUCUUCGGGGGUAGAGCACUGUUUCGGCUAGGGGGCCAUCCCGGCUUACCAAACCGAUGCAAACUCCGAAUACCGAAGAAUGUUAUCACGGGAGACACACGGCGGGUGCUAACGUCCGUCGUGAAGAGGGAAACAACCCAGACCGCCAGCUAAGGUCCCAAAGUCAUGGUUAAGUGGGAAACGAUGUGGGAAGGCAUAGACAGCCAGGAUGUUGGCUUAGAAGCAGCCAUCAUUUAAAGAAAGCGUAAUAGCUCACUGGUCGAGUCGGCCUGCGCGGAAGAUGUAACGGGGCUAAACCAUGCACCGAAGCUGCGGCAGCGACGCUUAGGCGUUGUUGGGUAGGGGAGCGUUCUGUAAGCCGUUGAAGGUGGCCUGUGAGGGUUGCUGGAGGUAUCAGAAGUGCGAAUGCUGACAUAAGUAACGAUAAAGCGGGUGAAAAGCCCGCUCGCCGGAAGACCAAGGGUUCCUGUCCAACGUUAAUCGGGGCAGGGUGAGUCGACCCCUAAGGCGAGGCUGAAAAGCGUAGUCGAUGGGAAACAGGUUAAUAUUCCUGUACUUGGUGUUACUGCGAAGGGGGGACGGAGAAGGCUAGGCUAGCCGGGCGACGGUUGUCCCGGUUUAAGCGUGUAGGGGGUGUGACCUGGUAAAUCCGGUUGCAUAUCAACCCUGAGGCGUGAUGACGAUGCACUACGGUGCAGAAGUAGUUGAUGCCCUGCUUCCAGGAAAAUCCUCUAAGCAUCAGGUAACAUUAAAUCGUACCCCAAACCGACACAGGUGGUCAGGUAGAGAAUACCAAGGCGCUUGAGAGAACUCGGGUGAAGGAACUAGGCAAAAUGGUGCCGUAACUUCGGGAGAAGGCACGCUGGCAUGUAGGUGAAGUCCCUUGCGGAUGGAGCUGAAGCCAGUCGAAGAUACCAGCUGGCUGCAACUGUUUAAUAAAAACACAGCACUGUGCAAACACGAAAGUGGACGUAUACGGUGUGACGCCUGCCCGGUGCUGGAAGGUUAAUUGAUGGGGUCAGCCGCAAGGCGAAGCUCUUGAUCGAAGCCCCAGUAAACGGCGGCCGUAACUAUAACGGUCCUAAGGUAGCGAAAUUCCUUGUCGGGUAAGUUCCGACCUGCACGAAUGGCGUAAUGAUGGCCAGGCUGUCUCCACCCGAGACUCAGUGAAAUUGAACUCGCUGUGAAGAUGCAGUGUACCCGCGGCAAGACGGAAAGACCCCGUGAACCUUUACUAUAGCUUGACACUGAACAUUGAGCCUUGAUGUGUAG
rnacentral:rRNA from 1 species